UAGGGCCGAUUUUUCAAUUGUCAGAUAAACAAACAGAUAGGGUAUAUUCGAGAGAUAGCGAAGUUGAUGAAUUUUUCAAUGGUCGAGUAAGACCUAUUGGACGAAUAAAUCCUUAUCUGAGGAAUUAAUUUAUUUGCCGCCUUGACCGCCAGGUAAGUACUAUUCGAUUGAUAAUUUGACGCAGAUGACGUUUUAGUUUGAAGUUAUUUCUUGCGCUAUUAACAAUUUAUCAAUUUAUUAUGGAUAUUUUCGAUAAUAUUGAUGACUUGGCUAUCGAAGAAGAGACUUUAAUAAAUGAAUAUAUAAAUCCACCCGAAAGAAAAGAAAGAAUAAUCCGCCCAAGGCCUGAAAGUUAUUUCUUGCGCUAUUAACAAUUUAUUAUGGAUAUUUUCGAUAAUAUUGAUGACUUGGCUAUCGAAGAAGAGACUAUAAUAAAUGAAUAUAUAAAUCCACCCGAAAGAAAAGAAAGAAUAACUAAUCCGCCCAAGGCCUGAUCACUUUAGGAUUUGGGAUUCAAAAGAAUUUCAUCGCAGAUUCAGACUUCGGAAAGAGUCGGUGCAAUAUUUACUUUCCCUAAUUGAAAAUAAAAUCAAGCACCAAACAGAAAGAAAUCAGUGUAUUUCACCCAUGUUGCAGUUAUUAAUUGCACUGCGAUUUUAUGCCACUGGAAGUUUUUACAUAACUGUUGGUGAUUUUGGUGGUAUUCAUAGUUCCACUAUGUGCCGUAUUAUUAAAAAAGUUACUGAAGCUAUAGCAUCUUUAAGAACAAUAUUCAUAAACUUGCCAAGAAGUGACGAAGACAUCAGAAGCACUCAACUAGAAUUUUAUAAAAUAGCCAGAUUCCUAGAGUAGUAUCGGCUAUAGAUGGCACCCAUAUUAGGAUUCAGUCGCCUGGUGGUAACACUGCAGAAGAAUUCAGGAAUAGAAAAGGAUUCUUUUCGUUUAAUGUUCAAGCAAUGUGUUCAGCAGACUUGAUGUUUCAAGAUAUAGUUGCACGUUGGCCUGGCUCUACCCAUGAUUGCAUGAUAUUUGCCAAUUCACAUGUGAAAUACCACUUUGAGAAUGGUGAAUUUGGCAAUGGAAUUAUACUUGGAGAUAGUGGUUAUGAACUAACUAAUUACCUACUCACUCCUUUUCAAAAUCCAGACACACCAACUAAGACUUUAUAUAAUGAAUCACAAAUUCGAACACGGAAUGUUAUUGAAAGGUGCUUUGGAGUUUGGAAAAGACGGUUUCCAGUCCUAAGUAUAGGAUUAAGGUGUAGGCUGCCGCUUGCACAAGAUGUGAUUGUAGCCUGUGCUGUACUACACAACUUGGCAAGAUCAAAAAAUGAGGAGGAACCUCCAGUGGACCCAGAAUUGCAUAUUCCACCACAGCCUAUAUUUCCACCCGCUAUAGCCGAUUUUACUGGUGAUGAAAGGUGCCAUACUAGGAACUUAAUCUUAAUAAAUUAUUUUCAUGCCUUACCUACUGAAUAAUCUAGGGCAGCCAAGCUCAAUUUUUCAACAGUUUUACUACAUAUAA